GACGAACGCUGGCGGCGUGCCUAAUACAUGCAAGUAGAACGCAGUUGCGAACGGGUGAGUAACGCGUAGGUAACUGCCUCAUAGCGGGGGAUAACUAUUGGAAACGCUAGCUAAUACCGCAUACUGUGAGAUGGACCUGCGUUGUAUUAGCUAGUUGGUGAGGUAAAGGCUCACCAAGGCGACGAUACAUAGCCGACCUGAGAGGGGGGUCGGCCCACCUGGGACCGGGACCAGGGCCAGGAUCCUAAGGGGAGCAAGAGUUGGGGAACUUCGGGCAAUGACGGAAAGCUGAACCGGCAAAUCCGGCGGGGUGAAAAAGGUUUUCGGGUCCUAAAGCUCCGUUUUUAGGGGAGCGGUAACUAACCAGAAAGGGACGGCUAACUACGUGCCAGCAGCCGCGGUAAUAC
rnacentral:rRNA from 1 species